CACCGCCUGGGGAGUACGACCGCAAGGUUAAAACUCAAAUGAAUUGACGGGGACCCGCACAAGUAGUGGAGCAUGUGGUUUAAUUCGAAGAUACGCGCAGAACCUUACCAACACUUGACAUGUUCGUCGCGACUUUAAGAGAUUAAAGUCUUCGGUUCGGCCGGACAAAACACAGGUGCUGCAUGGCUGUCGUCAGCUCGUGUCGUGAGAUGUUGGGUUAAGUCCCGCAACGAGCGCAACCCUCACUUUUAGUUGCCAUCAUUUAGUUGGGCACUCUGAAAGAACUGCCAGUGAUAAGCUGGAGGAAGGUGGGGAUGACGUCAAGUCCUCAUGGCCCUUACGUGUUGGGCUACACACGUGCUACAAUGGCAUUUACAAUAGGAAGCAAGAUGGCGACGUCAAGCAAAUCCUAAAAAGAUGCCUCAGUUCGGAUUGUACUCUGCAACUCGAGUGCAUGAAGCUGGAAUUACUAGUAAUCGCGGAUCAGCGCGCCGCGGUGAAUGCGUUCCCGGGUCUUGUACACACCGCCCGUCACACCAUGGGAGUUGGUUCUACCUUAAGGCAAGGUUUUAAACCCUUGACCACGGUAUAGUCAGCGACUGGGGUGAAGUCGUAACAAGGUAGCCGUAGGGGAACCUGCGGCUGGAUUACCUCCUUUCUGAGGAUGAAUAAAAUUCGUUUUUAUUCUAAAUAAUAUAACAGGUUAAUGUUGACCGUCCUCAUUUCUCUUCUUGAAAUAGUGUUUCUCUCUUCUACGUAGGGGCCGGUAGCUCAGUUGGUUAGAGCACACCCUUGAUAAGGGUGGGGGUCGAAAGUUCGAGUCUUUCUCGGCCCACCAAAUUAACUGGGGGAUUAGCUCAGCUGGGAGAGCGCCUGAUUUGCAUUCAGAGGUCAGCGGGUCGAUCCCGCUAUCCUCCACCACGAAACACUUAGUUAUUUUAAUUGUGAAAAUUUUUUAUAUUAUCAAUAUCUAUAUCCGAUUGUUCGAAUAGAUGAACAAUCAAUAAAUAAUUCGAAAAGAUGAAUAUUUAAUAAAAAAAUUGAUUCACACAGAAUUUUUUUCUG
rnacentral:sRNA from 1 species